UACAGAGGGUGCGAGCGUUCAUCGGAAUUACUGGGCGUAAAGGGCGCGUAGGCGGUUUAUCAAGUGAGAUGUGAAAUCCCCGGGCUUAACCUGGGAACUGCAUCUUAAACUGAUAGGCUGGAGUACUGUAGAGGAUAGUGGAAUUUCCGGUGUAGCGGUGAAAUGCGUAGAGAUCGGAAGGAACAUCAGUGGCGAAGGCGACUGUCUGGACAGAUACUGACGCUGAGGCGCGAAAGCGUGGGGAGCAAACAGG
rnacentral:rRNA from 1 species